rnacentral:rRNA from 1 species
UUGGAGGGCAAGUCUGGUGCCAGCAGCCGCGGUAAUUCCAGCUCCAAUAGCGUAUAUUAAAGUUGUUGCAGUUAAAAAGCUCGUAGUUGAAUUUCGGGGUUCAUCCGUUGGUCGGGCUUUUUUGGUCUGUACUGGCGUGAUGGAUUCCUACCUUCUGAAUAACCAGCAUGUCAUUAAUUUGGUGCGCUGGGGAAGCAGGACUGUUACCUUGAAAAAAUUAGAGUGCUUAAAGCAGGCUAUCGCCUGAAUACAUUAGCAUGGAAUAAUGAAAUAGGACGGCAUGGUUCUAUUUUGUUGGUUUCUAGGAUCACCGUAAUGAUUAAUAGGGAUAGUUGGGGGCAUUAGUAUUCAAUUGUCAGAGGUGAAAUUCUUGGAUUUAUUGAAGACUAACUACUGCGAAAGCAUUUGCCAAGGAUGUUUUCAUUAAUCAAGAACGAAAGUUAGGGGAUCGAAGACGAUCAGAUACCGUCGUAGUCUUAACCAUAAACUAUGCCGACUAGGGAUCGGAUGAUGUUAAUUUUUUAAUGACUCAUUCGGCGCCUUACGGGAAAC